UGUAUGUAGACCUUGUAUAUGUAGAAGGUAAUUCUAAUCAUAUUUAAUGUAGCUCAUGGUUCAUCAUUGAAUGUAUGUGUAAACAUCAGUGACAUAUUUAACAUCAUAUUUUCAGUUGGCAGCACGAUGCAUUCAAAAUACCUUAAGAAUGUUAUGUGAACAUGCUCAUCUUCUUUUUUGUAUUUAUCUGCUGUAUGAUUUGAAUAUAUACUUGUGUAAGACUAAUGGUGCACUAAUAGUAAAGUGUUGUUGUUUUAUAUUUUACCGGUAUUUUAAACGAUAUUGCACAGUACAUAUCUCGACUAAACUAUAUGCCAUUUGUUUAACAAGGAUUUACAGCGCUGUGUUAUAAAUAUCUUCUAUCAUCCAAAGGAUACUAGCUACCAUAUACAAUAUAAUCAGAUUUUCCAGCAUUGCGCUUUGUCUGCAUAUGACAUGCAUGUUAUCACUACUCCAUAUCCAUGUCCAUAUGACAAAUAUUUAUUAUACGGCGAGGUUACAAAGUUAUGAAGUCGUUAGAAAGGGCAAAUCUUGGCUAUUUUGGAACUUUUUAGAACGGUUUCAUACACGGUAUUCAUUGUGAAAGUCGAAUCCAAUCCACAAAAUGGACGAUAGUACCGCGAUGAGAAUGUUUCUCUGUCUUCUGCAAUGCGUUAAUAGGGAAUCGAUCUUACCGAUUUUCGUCGCGAAGCGACGAAAAUCGGGAUCGAAUCCCACUACGGUAACAUACGAGGGUAUCCAAACCACACAUACUAUCCAAAUAAAAAAAUAUGGAGUUCCGGUUUAGACCAUGGGCGUGCGACGACCCCGAUGAAAUUCGGGAUAUCACGGUCUUCGUUAAUGUUAAUAAGCGUCCGUCAGAUCAGUAGGCGAAACGCAAUAUCCGCACAAUAAGAUGUCUACGACUCGAUUCUUCGCCGAAAGAAUAUUCAAAGUAAGCUGUUAAUUUUGUUGCGUCAGAAGCUAAUCAGCCGGUAACGUGACUACACUGAUAUAAAUUGUGAUACAAACAUGCUUUAUUCAAUACUGAGUAGCAUUUUUAAACGGCGACAUUUUGAACAUUUUCAUAUUUAGAGUGAGAGUGGAUACACGUUACACUGGCGCCGACUUUUUGAAAAUUUGAGGAAACAAAAACAUUCUCCAACGAGUUCUUCAGCUCGGGGAAUGAGAGAAUAGAUUCACCUUUGUGUCGCUUUUCAGAUCGUAUUUAAUUCCUUUCCGGUACUUUAGUUUCUUUGAACUUCUUUGUUACUAAGCCUAUAUUGAAUUUUUAAAAUUAAGAAAUCCGUGAUUUUACUUGCAGGCAUGACUGAUUAAUGGAAUUAUUUUACUUUUAUAUAGAAUAUGGACGGCACUCCAUUACAGCAUGUGCAUGGUUGGACCUGUUAACAUUUUUAGAAACGCGUCUUGGUCUAUUAUACAGAGUAUUGUUGUACUGCUCCAAAGUGCUUGUUGACAGACUGAAACCACUUGCUUGCGGCUCAUAAGGUUCACUUCUUGAUAGAAGGCAGCUACAAAAUGGAAGGUCAACAAAUCCAGUAUACUUGAAAAGCAAGAAAGAAACACCAGAAAAUAUAAAAAGACAGAAGAACAAGGGAACUUUAAUAAAAAAAAAACUUUUAAGGAUAGGAAUUUAGGAUUUAUUUAGAAACUAAAUAUAUUUUGAGAACAGCAGUGUUUGACUAAGCUCUGUUACUUUAAGAGAUAAUGUGAUUAUCACAUUGGUUUUGUUAUUGUCGAGCCCGCUUGCGGAAGCGAAGACAUAGUUGUCCAAAUGUCUAUUCGGUGUUGCGUGCGUGCGUCCGUCCGGAUUUGUUUGUCCGGACCAUAAUUUGGACAUGCAUGGAGCAAUCUUGUUUAUAUAUGGUAUGAAUGUUAACCUCAGUGAGACAGAGUGUCAUGCGCAAGCCCCAGGUUCCUAUCUCAAAGGUCAAGAUCACACUUACAGGUCAAAGGUCAAAUUCAAAAAUGACUUUGUCCGGAGCAUUUCUUCUUCAUGCAUGGAGGGAUUUUGAUGUAACUUGGCACAAUUGUUCACCAUCAUGAGAUGGAGUGUCAUGCGCAAGAACAAGAUCCCUAGGUCUAAGGUCAAGGUCACACUUAGAGGUCAAAGGAUACAUGAAUGACAACUUUGUCUGGAGCAUUUUUUCUUCACGCAUGGAGGGACUUUGAUGUAACUUGGCACAAAUGUUCACCACCAUGAGACGGAGUGUCAUGCGGAAAAACCAGGUCUAAGGUCAAGGUCACACUUAGAGGUCAAAAGUCAGAUACAAGAAUGACUUUGUCUGGAGCAUUUCUUUUUGAUGCAUAGAGGGAUUUUGAUGUAACUUGGCACAAUUGUUCAUCAUCAUGCGAGGUUGGUCUUGACCAGCAGAUUACCUGUAUUGAUUUAGAGUUCCAAAGGUCAGGAUGACCCGGAACAUUUAAACCUUUUCAAUACAACAACUUGAGAACACUUGGGCGGACGAUCAUGAAACUAUGGAGAUUGAAUUUGAGGUCAUUAGGUAAUAGCUCAAGAAAAUGCUGCUUUGUUAUUGGCUUAGUUCUUUGAUAAGGCCAUAUUGUGGGGGUAUAAUUCGUCACUUCUGUGACAACUCUAGCAUUUAGCUCACCUGAGCACAAAGUGCUCAAGGUGAGCUUUUGUGAUCGCCCUGUGUCCGUCCGUCAUCAACAAUUUGACUGUUAACACUCUAUAGGUCACAAUUUUGACUUAAUCUUUAUGACGCUUGGUCAGAAUGUUACCCUUAAUAAAAUCUUGGACACAUUUGAUGUUGGGUCAUCUUGAAUCAAAAACUAGGUCACCAAGUCAAAUCAAAGGAAAAGCUUGUUAACACUGUAGAGGUCACAUUUAAGACUAUAUCUUCAUGAAACUUGGUCAGAAUGUUAAUAUUAAUGAUCCAUAGAUCAGAUUCAAAUCUGGGUCAAGUGGGGUCAAAAACUAGGUCACCAGGUCAAAUCAAGGGAAAAGCUUGUUAACACUCUAGAGGUCACAAUUUUGGUCCAAUCUUAAUGAAACUUGGUCAAAAUGUUACCCUCAAUAAAAUAUUGGACAAGUUUGAUAUUGGGUCGUCUAGGGUCAAAAACUAGGUACAUGUAACCAGGUCAAAUCAAAGGAAAAGCUUGUUAACACUGUAGUGGCCACAUUUAUGACCAUAUCUUAAUGAAACUUUGUCAGAAUUUUAAUCUUGAUGAUCUAUAGGCCAAGUUAAAUCUAGGUCAGGUGGGAUUAAAGACUAGGUCGCUAGGUCAAAUCAAAGGAACAGCUUGUUAACACUCCAGAGGCCACAUUUAUGACUGCAUCUUCAUGAAACUUAAUCAGAAUGUUAAUCUUGAUGAUCUUUCAGUCAAGUUUGAAUCUGGGUCGUGUGGGGUCAAAAACUAGGUCACCAAGUCAAAUCAAAGGAAAAGCUAGUUAACUCUUUAGAGGCUACAUUUAUGAUCAUAUCUUAAUGUAACUUGGUCAGAAUGUUGAUCUUGAUGAUCUUUAUGUCAAUAUGCCAGGUGAGCGAUACAGGGCCAUCAUGGCCCUCUUGUUUAUUUGUUCUUGUUGUAAGAGAAAUUGUACAUUUUAGAAUACAGAUUACAGCAAGUCACAUUUUCUUUAUUUUGACAAUACUUAUUUCAAAGCCUGACAAAAGCAUCCAGUACUGUUAUUAAAAGUUGUUAUUCACAGUUCAGCUAUAUUUCAUGUAUGGAUAAAACAAAUUAUGUGAUCAUUAUAAAUGUGUAUACAGAUAAAACUUAAACAUGUGAACAGUUUAUUCAAUAAAUAAAGUGUAAUGCAA